AUUGAACGCUGGCGGCAGGCCUAACACAUGCAAGUCGAACGAGUGGCGGACGGGUGAGUAAUGUCUGGGAAACUGCCUGAUGGAGGGGGAUAACUACGGGAAACGGUAGCUAAUACCGCAUACCAUCGGAUGUGCCCAGAUGGGAUUAGCUAGUAGGUGGGGUAAAGGCUCACCUAGGGGACGAUGCCUAGCUGGUCUGAGAGGAUGACCGGCGAAACUGGAACUGAGACACGGUCCAGACUCCUACGGGAGGCAGCAGUGGGGAAUAGUGCACAAUGGGCGAAAGUCUGAUGCAGCCAUGCCGCGUGUAUGAAGAAGGCCUUCGGGUUGUAAAGUACUUUCAGCGGGGAGGCGUUACCCGCAGAAGAAGCCCCGGCUAACUCCGUGCCAGCAGCCGCGGUAAUUC
rnacentral:rRNA from 1 species